GAUGAAGAACGUAGCGAAAUGCGAUAAGUAAUGUGAAUUGCAGAAUUCAGUGAAUCAUCGAAUCUUUGAACGCACAUUGCGCCCGCCAGUAUUCUGGCGGGCAUGCCUGUCUGAGCGUUAUUUCAACCCUCAUGCCCCUAGGGCGUGGUGUUGGGGAUCGGCCAAAGCCCGCGAGGGACGGCCGGCCCCUAAAUCUAGUGGCGGACCCGUCGUGGCCUCCUCUGCGAAGUAGUGAUAUUCCGCAUCGGAGAGCGACGAGCCCCUGCCGUUAAACCCCCAACUUUCCAAGGUUGACCUCAGAUCAGGUAGGAAUACCCGCUGAACUUAAGCAUAUCAAUAAGCGGAGGA
rnacentral:misc_RNA from 1 species